rnacentral:rRNA from 1 species
AUUGAACGCUGGCGGCAGGCCUAACACAUGCAAGUCGAACGAGUGGCGGACGGGUGAGUAAUUUCUGGGAAACUGCCUGAUGGAGGGGGAUAACUACUGGAAACGGUAGCUAAUACCGCAUACCAUCGGAUGUGCCCACAUGGGAUUAGCUAGUAGGUGGGGUAACGGCUCACCUGGGCGACGAUCCCUCGCUGGUCUGAGAGGAUGACAAGCCAGACUGGAACUGAGACAAGGUCAAGACUCCGACGGGAGGCAGCAGUGGGGAAUAUUGCGCAAUGGGCGCAAGCCUGAUGAAGCAAUGGCGCGUGUAUGAAGAAGGCAUUCGGGUUGGAAAGUACUUUAAGCGGGGAGGCGUUACCAGCAGAAGAAGCACCGGCUAACUCCGUGCCAGCCGCCGCGGUAAUAC